CAGCCUACCUACCCCUGGAUAUUUGGAUCUUACCCUACCCUCUGUAUACAUCUGUAUACAUUUACAUCUCCUCACCUGCCUUAGCACAGCUAGUUCCACACCUUCCAUGUCCUGGUACAGCUGAGAGCUGGAUUCGAAUGUGUCCUGGGUUUGCUGCGUUACAGCAGUUCCUGCUUCAGUUAGAUCAGAACCUUCCCUGCUAAUUCAUCAUGACAUAACCAACCAGCCUCCUCCUACUGCACAGUUGAAUAAGCUUCUUGUUUCCCAUUGUUCCAAGUACAUGUGACUCAAGGCCUUCAUCAUCCACCUAGUCUGGUACAGUCCAGUUGGUGCAGCUGAACCACUUCAUGCAUUUUUAAAGCCAGAAGGGACCAUUAUGAUCAUCCAGUCUGACCUACUGCAUAAGACAGGUCAGAGAAUUACACCUAGUAAAUUCCUGCGCCCAGCCCAUGAGUGUGCCUUUUAGAAAGGCAUACAGUCUUGACUUUUAGACUCCUCAUGAAGGACUCUUGCUCAAUAUCUGGCAAAGAUUGGGGCAUGGAUGAAAGCUGGCUGGCCGAGGCUUGACUCGGAUAAGAACAAGGUAAUGCUGGAAGGCUGGGGGAAGCAACGGGAAAGAAUGAUAGUGAUUAUCAGCCUGCUUGGUCGAAGGAGUGCACCUGCCAUUUAUCACUCUUGUUUGCCAUUUAGGGACUGUGUUACGUCUUAGGCAGCCACUGGAUGCCCCAGUAGCAGCUGUAGCCAAAUUGCUUUUUCCCAUCUGCGCUUGGCAAGGAGGGUGCAACAUUUGCUUUCCAGUUCUGAGACAUCAUUACAGUUGUCCCUGUCGUUGUCACCUCAAUAUUAGACUAUUGCAGUGUGCUCUACAUUGGUUUGCACCUUAAGGUCAUCUGGCAGCUGAAGUUACUGCUGAAUGAGUUUGUCUGCCAAUUUGUUUCAUACAGAGAGCAUGUUGUGUUGGUGUUCAAGAGUCUGAGAAGUUUGGGAUGGAAUUUAAGGUGUCGGUUUUGACCUACCAAGCUCUAAAAGGUUUGGGACCUGCCUCUCUCCCAAUGUGAAGUUGCUACAGUGGUGUUCAGUGAGAGACCUCAAGGUAACAGCCUGAUGCUUUAAACAGAAGAGAGCUGGAGGGAAGGUAUUUUUCUUAAGGGGCCCUCUGACUCUGGACCUGGCUAAUUUCCCAAGCCCUGUCCAGCAAAGGUUGGACCAUUAUAACUAAGACUCUACUUGAAUUGUGGGAUGAUUGUCAAAUAAUUUCGGCUAAGUUGCAGACAAGACAUGGAA